GAGUUUGAUCCUGGCUCAGGAUCAACGCUGGCGGCGUGCCUCAGACAUGCAAGUCGAACGCGAAAUCUCCCUUCGGGGAGAAAGUAGAGUGGCGCACGGGUGAGUAACACGUAGGUAAUCUACCUCUGGGUGGGGAAUAACAGUCGGAAACGGCUGCUAAUACCGCAUAACGCAGCGGCACCACAUGGUGACAGUUGUUAAAGCGGGGGAACAGCAAUGUCCUCGCGCCUGGAGAGGAGCCUGCGGCGGAUUAGCUAGUUGGUAGGGUAACGGCCUACCAAGGCGACGAUCCGUAGCCGGCCUGAGAGGGCGGUCGGCCACACUGACACUGACACACGGGUCAGACUCCUACGGGAGGCAGCAGUCGGGAAUUUUGGGCAAUGGGCGAAAGCCUGACCCAGCAACGCCGCGUGAAGGAUGAAGUUUUUCGGAAUGUAAACUUCAUAAGACGGGGAAGAAUAAGUUUAGGUUAACACCCUGAACGAUGACGGUACCCGUUGUAAGCUCCGGCUAACUCCGUGCCAGCAGCCGCGGUAAUACGGGGGGAGCAAGCGUUGUUCGGAUUUACUGGGCGUAAAGGGCGCGUAGGCGGCGUGACAAGUCACUUGUGAAAUCUCCGGGCUUAACUCGGAGCGGUCAAGUGAUACUGUCGUGCUAGAGUGCGGAAGGGGCAACUGGAAUUCUCGGUGUAGCGGUGAAAUGCGUAGAUAUCGAGAGGAACACCUGCGGCGAAGGCGGGUUGCUGGGCCGACACUGACGCUGAGGCGCGAAAGCCAGGGGAGCGAACGGGAUUAGAUACCCCGGUAGUCCUGGCCUUAAACGAUGGAUGCUUGGUGUCCGGGGUUACAAAGUCCCCGGGUGCCGUCGCUAACGCCUUAAGCAUCCCGCCUGGGGAGUACGGUCGCAAGACUGAAACUCAAAGGAAUUGACGGGGACCCGCACAAGCGGUGGAGCAUGUGGUUUAAUUCGACGCAACGCGAAGAACCUUACCUGGGCUAGAAUGCCCCUGACAACCCUAGAGAUAGGGCCUUCUGGGUAAAACCAGACAGGGUGCAAGGUGCUGCAUGGCUGUCGUCAGCUCGUGUCGUGAGAUGUUGGGUUAAGUCCCGCAACGAGCGCAACCC
rnacentral:rRNA from 1 species